CUGACAAUCUUAUCAUGUUGAAAGUGUGUCUUCAAAGUGUCGCCGUGACCUUGGAAAUUAUGUGAAGGUCACCAAAAUCACCAGGGCCCUGCACCUUCCGUAGAUAAAGUUUGGGUUGAAUAUGAAGAAAAUCCAGUGAACGGUUCUUGAGAU